rnacentral:rRNA from 1 species
GAUGAACGCUGGCGGCGUGCCUAAUACAUGCAAGUCGAGCGAACAGACGAGGAGCUUGCUCCUCUUACGUUAGCGGCGGACGGGGGAGUAACACGUGGAUAACCUACCUAUGAGACUGGAAAAACUUCGUGAAACCGGACCUAAUACCGGAUAAUAUUUUGAACCGCAUUGUUCAUUAGUAUAAGAGGAGUUUGCUGUCACUCAUUAAUGGAUCCGCGCUGCAUUAGCUAGUUGGUAAGGUAAAGGCUUACCAAGGCAACGAUGCGUAGCCGACCUGAAAGGGUGAUCGGCCACACUGGAACUGAGACACGGUCCAGACUCCUACGGGAGGCAGCAGUAGGGAAUCUUCCGCAAUGGGCGACAGCUUGACGGAGCAACGCCGCGUGAGUGAUGAAGGUCUUAGGAUCGUAAAACUCUGUUAUUAGGGAAGAACAAAUGUGUAAGUAACUAUGCACGUCUUGACGGUACCUAAUCAGAAAGCCACGGCUAACUACGUG